AAUCAUCUCGAGGGGUCCAGUCCUCUUGGAGGUAGCUGAGUUUGGAACCAGAUCCUUCCGGGACCCAAGACUAAAACGGGUGAAUUCGGUGCAGCAACUUGCCACCCAGUGGAAACAGAGGGUACAUGCGAUUAAGAACGCAAAUAUUUCAGCUCAAACUGCACUGAUCAAUGAGCUCACCAAGCCUGCAGUUAGCUCAGCUCCAAUGUUUGGAGGACAAUAAAACUCUAGCUUUCCCACUACAAGUGAAUUCGGUGCAGCAACUUGCCACCCAGUGGAAACAGAGGGUACAUGCGAUUAAGAACGCAAAUAUUUUAGCUCAAACUGCAC